AUCAGCCACACAUCUUUAUGAUGUUCAACAAUUGAAUGUGCUACACUGAUAUCAACACUUGUUCGAUUCAAAAUAGUGUUAAAUUCAUACUAUAAUCAUGGAAAAAGCUAUAGCAUUUUUAUAAUAAUGGUACAUUCCAAGGAAUUUGUGUAAAAUAUGAUAAUAUAAACCAAAUUUAACUUGUUGAAAUAGAAGGCAUCGUAUUUAGCUUCGAAGAACUAUAAAGCAGUACGAGACAGAGAAAUUUACAGUGAAAUUAGAUCCUUCUUUAUGUUGUUAAAAGAAAAAGUAUUUUAAAGAAAUGGCGAAUGUUCCAGGUUUGAUAAAACAAUAAACUAAAUUCAAGAAUUGUCUCUAAAAUUACAAUAUUGAGCCCAAAAUAAAUUAAAUUAGAAAAGAA